rnacentral:rRNA from 1 species
CCUACGGGAGGCAGCAGUGGGGAAUAUUGCACAAUGGGGGAAACCCUGAUGCAGCGACGCCGCGUGAAGGAAGAAGUAUUUCGGUAUGUAAACUUCUAUCAGCCGGGAAGAAAAUGACGGUACCUGACUAAGAAGCCCCGGCUAACUACGUGCCAGCAGCCGCGGUAAUACGUAGGGGGCAAGCGUUAUCCGGAUUUACUGGGUGUAAUGGGAGCGUAGGCGGUUUAGCAAGUCAGAAGUGAAAGCCCGGGGCUCAACUCCGGGACUGCUUUUGAAACUGUUGAACUAGAGUGCAGGAGAGGGAAGUGGAAUUCCUAGUGUAGCGGUGAAAUGCGUAGAUAUUAGGAGGAACACCAGUGGCGAAGGCGGCUUACUGGACUGUAAAUGACGCUGAGGCUCGAAAGCGUGGGGAGCAAACAGGAUUAGAUACCCGAGUAGUC